rnacentral:rRNA from 1 species
GACAGAGGGUGCAAACGUUGCUCGGAAUUACUGGGCGUAAAGCGCGUGUAGGCGGUUUGGUAAGUCGGGUGGGAAAGCCCCGGGCUCAACCCGGGAAGUGCACUCGAUACUGCCAAGCUAGAGUAUCGGAGAGGUUGGUGGAAUUCUCGGUGUAGAGGUGAAAUUCGUAGAUAUCGAGAGGAACACCGGUGGCGAAGGCGGCCAACUGGACGAAUACUGACGCUGAGACUCGAAAGCGUGGGGAGCAAACAGG